rnacentral:rRNA from 1 species
UGGGGAAUAUUGCACAAUGGGGGAAGCCCUGAUGCAGCAAUGCCGCGUGGGUGAAGGAGCACUCCGGUGCGUAAAGCCCUUUCAGCAGGGAAGAAAAUGACAGUACCUGAAUAAGAAGCCCCGGCUAACUACGUGCCAGCAGCCGCGGUAAUACGUAGGGGGCAAGCGUUAUCCGGAUUUACUGGGUGUAAAGGGAGCGCAGGCGGUGUGGCAAGUCAGAUGCGAAAACCCAGGGCCCAACCCUGGGAGUGCAUUUGAAACUGCCAUGCUGGAGUGCCGGAGAGGUAAGCGGAAUUCCUAGUGUAGCGGUGAAAUGCGUAGAUAUUAGGAAGAACACCAGUGGCGGAGGCGGCUUACUGGACGGUAACUGACGCUGAGGCUCGAAAGCGUGGGGAGCAAACAGGAUUAGAUACC